rnacentral:rRNA from 1 species
UACGAAGGGGGCUAGCGUUGCUCGGAAUCACUGGGCGUAAAGCGCACGUAGGCGGACUCUUAAGUCAGGGGUGAAAUCCUGGAGCUCAACUCCAGAACUGCCUUUGAUACUGAGAAGCUUGAGUCCGGGAGAGGUGAGUGGAACUGCGAGUGUAGAGGUGAAAUUCGUAGAUAUUCGCAAGAACACCAGUGGCGAAGGCGGCUCACUGGCCCGGUACUGACGCUGAGGUGCGAAAGCGUGGGGAGCAAACAGGG